rnacentral:rRNA from 1 species
AGCCUUUAGCCAAACAAGUAUUAAAGGUCCCGCCUGCCCAGUGACAUAUUUUAAACGGCCGCGGUAUUCUAACCGUGCAAAGGUAGCGUAAUCACUUGUCUUCUAAAUAAAGACUAGUAUGAACGGCUAAAUGAGGACAGACCUGUCUCUUAUAACUAAUCAGUGAAACUGAUCUCCCAGUCCAAAAGCUGGGAUAACCACAUAAGACGAGAAGACCCUGUGGAGCUUUAAACUAAUCACUAAUCAACGCGCACAUCUACCGUUAAUAGUGCACAGUUUUAAGUUGGGGCGACUUCGGAACAAAAUUAAACUUCCGAGCACGGGACCACAAAUCCCAACCAAGGCCUACAAGCCAAAGUCUAUAAUAACAGACCCAGUAACACUGAAAAACGAACCAAGUUACCCCAGGGAUAACAGCGCUAUCUUCUUCAAGAGUCCAUAUCGACAAGAAGGUUUACGACCUCGAUGUUGGAUCAGGACACCCAAAUGGUGCAGCAGCUAUUAAAGGUUCGUUUGUUCAACGAUUAACAG